rnacentral:sRNA from 1 species
UGUCAAUAUUCAAAAAUUUAUAGUGAAGACUGAUACAAUUUUAAUCUAGAGCUUAGAAUAGAUGUAUAUUGCGAAUUAAGUUCUUUUGAUACAAGAACCUCAUAGUAUGAAUGUCCUUGUCCCGAUUUCGAAGUUAUAACUCGUUUCAACCAACCAAAGGAUGGCAAGGCAAAUUGAAUUUUAAACUUAAUAAUGACAAAACAAUGCCAAAAAUCUCAGCAUCACGCAACUCAAACAAUCGCCGCUUCACUGAAUAGCAUAUCAUCUAAACAUAUCAACAUGCAAGCGAAUAAUUUUCUAGAUGCUAAAACGAACAAAAUACAAGGGGUUUGCUGUUGUACGGGGACCACACAGAGACAUCAACGAUAAACUAAAAUAUAAAAAAUAAACACAAGUAAUGCCAAAUGUAUGGAGUGAGACAAUGAAAACAGAAACCAGCACAAAAUAGGCAGCCAUUGGCAGUGGACGGGCUAGGGGAACCGAGGUGAUGAAGGUGGGAAGGGGCAGGGGGGUGGUGGCACUCCGAGUGGCAACCAAGUGCUACGCAUCACGAGCCGGUUGCUUCAUUUGAUUUAGCUAUAGCUACAGCUGGACGUCGGAGUCCAAAGAGUUGUCCAACGAGAUUUGCAUUUUGAUGGAUUGCAGGCGGGUAGCCGAAAGAUGUUUGCCUCGGACACGGAGCUACCUCUUGUCGGACAUGAUGUGACUAUGAGCUCGAAGCGAACAAAGCCAUGCCAUGCCAUGAAUCUCAUCGUGUCCAGCCACGGCGUGUGAUCGCGAUAAGAAUUAGCGCUCCAUACGCAGCGGCCGAGAUGAAAAGCUUUGCUUGUCUGCUCGUUGCCAACGAAAUAUUGGCUAAACGCUGUGGCUGAUACCGAGUCCGGUU